rnacentral:rRNA from 1 species
GACGGAGGGGGCAAGCGUUGUCCGGAAUUAUUGGGCGUAAAGAGCUUGUAGGCGGUCUGUCGCGUCUGCUGUGAAAAUCCGGGGCUCAACCCCGGACUUGCAGUGGGUACGGGCAGACUAGAGUGUGGUAGGGGAGACUGGAAUUCCUGGUGUAGCGGUGAAAUGCGCAGAUAUCAGGAGGAACACCGAUGGCGAAGGCAGGUCUCUGGGCCACUACUGACGCUGAGAAGCGAAAGCAUGGGGAGCGAACAGG